rnacentral:tRNA from 1 species
AAAAUUUUAAGUUAAAUUUAAUUAAACUAUAAGCCUUCAAAGUUUAAAAUUAUAAGAUUAUAAAAUUUUA